rnacentral:lncRNA from 1 species
GUCGUCACCAAGACGCACAUAUUUGAUAUAGAUCCACACCACAGACUGGAUAUAGAUCUUGGACGUUAGUCUUAUAAUAACAGCGGGUUUCUCAACCUCUGGCUCGUUAUCUGUUCGGGUUCCUCAACUCGCGUUCGUCUUCCUCAACCUCUCGUUCGUGCGUGAUUUGCUUCUUCUCUAUUCUCGCACCUCUCUUCUAUUCUCUAUCCUCUAUCUUCUCCUAUCUUUGAUUUUUUCUCUCCUUGUCUGUGAAAAUCUUCAUAUUAAUCUGACGAUAUUUGUGUGAAAUUCAAUAUUCUGAUAGACUGGGUUUAUGAGUAUCUUUGCAUCUCCUGGGUUAUGGAAUCUUUGCAUCUCCUAGAUUGGGUUUAUGAGAAUCUUCCCCUCUUUCUCUAUUUUGUAAUAUUUGGUGCUUAGGGUUUAUGAAUCUUCCUCUCUUUCCCUGAUAAUUUUUGUGUGAUGUUGUUCAAAGUUCUGAAGAUUUUUUUGAUAAUUUUCGAAUUUUCUGUUUUUUUUUUUUUAGUUUGGUCCAGACAGGUGUUGCACCAAAUCAUGGACAGGAUUCUUGACUGGUCCUAACCAAUCCAAUCCUAGAAGUUUAAUCUAGUCCUAUCAUGUCCAGUCUUGGCCACCAAACAGGGCUUUGGGGCCAGGGACGGAUUCAUGAAUUUUCUUUUCGGAGGUCAAUUAAAAAAUUUAUAUUUAAAAUAUCCAAACAGGUUGCAGGGGUCAAAUUUCCACUCUCUAAUGGAGGAUUUCAGGGGUUACAGGGGUCACUUGACCACCCUUGCUCCUUUGUGAAUCCGUCUCUUUGGGGUUUUCUCUCUUUUGUGGUUCAGAUUCACACCAUGGCAUAAUUGUUGCGUUAGACGUAUGUUAUUCUUCCCAUUGUUUACUUUUGAACCUUUCAUAUUUGGAGUCAAACAACUUGAUCUAAAAAUUCUAGACUUAAUUUAUUCUUAAGCAACCAUGCAAAUGCCCAGUUCCUACCAAAGGUUGUUGAAUGCUGAAGCAACGCACCAGGUCAUCAGAAAACAAAAUAAUUGUCUGGUUGACAAAGAAAUUCAUUACCUUGCUUUAUGGCAUAAUAAGAGUAGUUUACUUCUACCAUUCUUUCUCACCAUACAUUCUUUGUAUUUUCUAUCACACUUUCAGGUGAAGGUUGUUAACAAUUUGGUACGAAAAAUUGAACUAAGACUUUUAAGUUGACCCCAAGACUCUUGUAGACUUAAAAUUUAGUUGAACCAUCCGCAACACCUUAAUUAUGGAGAAAUUCUUGGAUCUGGCGCUUGGUACACGUUGCAUGUUUGUCGCUCCUCAAGCGGAUUGAAGACAAGUGGCAUGUAAUUACUGUGUUAUUUGGUCAGGUCAUGUUAAGGAGAAUACAUUUAGACCACAUUAUGUAUCAUCUCUCUAAUAAAAGUGGAGCCCACCAAUACAGUGAGUUCCACACAUGGAUGGUUAUGUGCAUAGGGAAGGUUGGGUGCUCGUUCAACCCAAAUUAAAAAAUAAAAUAUAAAAAAUACCCACAUAUGUUAUAAGCCUAGCACAAAAUAAAAAUAAAAUAAAAUAAAAUA